rnacentral:rRNA from 1 species
UACGAAGGGGGCUAGCGUUGCUCGGAAUCACUGGGCGUAAAGGGUGCGUAGGCGGGUUUUUAAGUCAGGGGUGAAAUCCUGGAGCUCAACUCCAGAACUGCCUUUGAUACUGAAGAUCUUGAGUCCGGGAGAGGUGAGUGGAACUGCGAGUGUAGAGGUGAAAUUCGUAGAUAUUCGCAAGAACACCAGUGGCGAAGGCGGCUCACUGGCCCGGUACUGACGCUGAGGCACGAAAGCGUGGGGAAGCAAACAGGG